GGCUGGCCUGAUGGUAGUACAUUAUCAGAACUUAUUAACAUUAGUGUCACUAAAGUUGGUAUAAAACUCCCAUUGCUAAAUUUGACUGGCUUAUA
rnacentral:Y_RNA from 1 species